AACGAACGCUGGCGGCAUGCCUAACACAUGCAAGUCGAACGAGACCUUCGGGUCUAGUGGCGCACGGGUGCGUAACGCGUGGGAAUCUGCCCUUGGGUUCGGAAUAACAGUUGGAAACGGCUGCUAAUACCGGAUGAUGACUUAGGACCAAAGAUUUAUCGCCCAAGGAUGAGCCCGCGUAGGAUUAGCUAGUUGGUGAGGUAAAGGCUCACCAAGGCGACGAUCCUUAGCUGGUCUGAGAGGAUGAUCAGCCACACUGGGACUGAGACACGGCCCAGACUCCUACGGGAGGCAGCAGUGGGGAAUAUUGGACAAUGGGCGAAAGCCUGAUCCAGCAAUGCCGCGUGAGUGAUGAAGGCCUUAGGGUUGUAAAGCUCUUUUACCCGGGAUGAUAAUGACAGUACCGGGAGAAUAAGCUCCGGCUAACUCCGUG
rnacentral:rRNA from 1 species